UACAAAAUAGUUUAUAUGAAAACAGAGGUUUGUGGGGCUUAAGAAAUAUUAUUUUUGUAA
rnacentral:tRNA from 1 species